GAAACACGGACCAAGGAGUUCAACUGGAUUGCGAGUCGUAGAGUUUAUUAUCACAAAGCUCCAACGGCGAAGCGAAAGCGAGAUCGUGCGAAGUGCACAGUUUAUUGUCACUGCGGCACAGGCUGAUUACGGAUAUGCGUAGAGUUUUCAACUGUGCGUAUACAUUCACUCUUUUGUGGAUGAGUGAUCAAGCCAAAGAGCACUUUAGUUGAGACCCGAAAGAUGGUGAACUAUGCUCGGACAUGGUGAAGCCAGGUGAAAACUUGGUGGAAGCUUGCGUUGUGCGGAACUGACGUGCAAAUCGUUGCCGCCUGACCUGAGUAUAGGGGCGAAAGACUCAUCGAACCAUCUAGUAGCUGGUUCCCUCCGAAGUUUCCCUCAGGAUAGCUCGAAUUUUGGAGAGAGUAACACAAGGGUAAAGCAAUGAGACGCGGUAUCUGUGGGUCUUAUUUAAAUGACCUCGGCCUUCUCUCAAACUUUAAAUCUGUGCGAGUCCCCAACUUACUUAGAUUAGAAGUUGAUUGUGGCUCGUAUCAAAAAUUCGUAGUGGGCCAUUUAUUGGUAAGCAGAACUGGCGAUGAGGGAUUCAACCUGACGUUCUCAAGAUAAGCCGGGCUUAAUCAUAUCUGCUCCAACCUUCCGAUAAACGCGA
rnacentral:rRNA from 1 species